rnacentral:rRNA from 1 species
UGGGGAAUUUUGGACAAUGGGCGAAAGCCUGAUCCAGCAAUGCCGCGUGUGUGAAGAAGGCCUUCGGGUUGUAAAGCACUUUUGUCCGGAAAGAAAUGGCUCUGGUUAAUACCUGGGGUCGAUGACGGUACCGGAAGAAUAAGGACCGGCUAACUGCGUGCCAGCAGCCGCGGUAAUACGUAGGGUCCAAGCGUUAAUCGGAAUUACUGGGCGUAAAGCGUGCGCAGGCGGUUGUGCAAGACCGAUGUGAAAUCCCCGAGCUUAACUUGGGAAUUGCAUUGGUGACUGCACGGCUAGAGUGUGUCAGAGGGGGGUAGAAUUCCACGUGUAGCAGUGAAAUGCGUAGAGAUGUGGAGGAAUACCGAUGGGCGAAGGCAGCCCCCUGGGAUAACACUGACGCUCAU